GGUCUUAUAGUUUAUAAAAAAUAUUUAGUUGCAAACUUUAGGAAACAUGAAUGUGUUGAGGCUU
rnacentral:tRNA from 1 species